UGAAGUCGGACGCUUAACCGACUGCGCCACCCAGGCGCCCCGAAAAAGAUCCAUUCUGUCUGCGUGCUCUCGUCAUGCCAGGCCAGAAGUUCUCCAUCUUGCUGCACGGAGGAUGUGGAAGGCAUCGCAUCAUGGUCCCCGCCGGUGGGGAUGAGACGAGAGUGGGCAAUGUGGUCUUGGCUGCUGUUGUUCUCACUGGGGAGGGACCCGUGGGAAGGCCUGGGUCUGUGCCAGCCUGCGGCUAGGGCAAAGUGGCUGUGUUCUCAGGAUGCGCCAUUAAAAAGGAGCAGUGGGAUGGCAGAUCCUAGAUCAGGUGACCACAGGGAUCGAGAACUAGGGGACAUAGCGGGAUGAUGCCUGUCCUGUCUCACUCCCUGGUGACCCCGAGAGGUAAUGCAAGUCCCCAUGAAAGGACUCUGAGAAGUCAAAGCAGCCGAACACGAUGAGGGGGUUAUACUUAAGGUAAUGGUGGCCCUAUCCGGCCAUUGCCAUCGCCAUGUGCAUUUACUCAACGUCCUCCCUGCCACACCUGCCUUGGGCUGGGACGGUGGAGGGUCUCUGGGGCACCUGUGGAGGCGGGGCUGGGGUUCUGGCCUCCUGAGCCAAACGCCAGCUCCCUGCCCCGUCUGCAGUGCAAGGGUUCAGGAAGAGCCAUGGAUCCUGGAUCCUGGGGAGCGUGGAUGGUUGCAGGCCUGCGUGGUCAGCUGUUUCAGAGUGGGGGAGGGGCCUGGUGUGCUCGGGGUGGGGGACCUUCAGGGCAUGCGUGUAGAAGUGGGAGCGGGAGCCUUCCUGUUUAUCAGGGACCCACGAAACGCUGCUGAACCUGAACCUGCUUCCUUUUCCCACCCCCUGCCUUAACAAACACAUAUGAGUGUAACACGUCCUGCCUGCAGUGGUUUGCACAGUUUCAGUGUCUCAGCAACCUUGUGCCAGGAAAAGCCAGGGGCUCUCUGAGCACCCAUGGCCCAGACCUGGACUCUGGGAGCCAAGCCAAAAAGCGUGUGACAGACACAGGUGAGGCCCCAGGGCCCCUCCGAUCCUCAUGCACUCCUCGGUGACAGGAAAGCCACUCAGCUGGAAUAUGAAUAAAGGGCUGGAAGGAUGCAUACGUUUAGGUCAAAGCUGACCAGGAAUCAUGACUUGCCGCAGGCGUGCUAAGUUUCCAGGCGGUGGCUCCUGGGGAGCAGGCCAGGAAUGACAACGAGCCACAGCGCUUACUGAACACGUCGUGUGCACUCGGCACGGUUCUCAGGGAGCCCUUAUUUUUUUAAAUUUUUUUUUUAACGUUUUAUUUAUUUUUGAGACAGAGAGAGACAGAGCAUGAAUGGGGCAGGGGCAGAGAGAGA